AAGAAGAAAACGAGGCACCGCUGCUGCUAAACUGGCACCGCUAAUCUUCAAGUUUGAGACAGGAGGUUUAAAGGAGGAGCUUGUGCGGAAGAGCAUUUCCCAUGUUCUGCUGCCCUGAUGACCCCGCUGGCUGAACUCUUCUUCUGACAGGUCUCUGAUGAGCAAGCCCACUCUGGCCGGUAAAGAGCGUGCGCGCUGUGUGGGCCGGAUCGCUCCGGAGUUUCUGUCUUGAACAGCGAGCGUUAGUCAUCCAUGUUGGUGGAUAAAGAGAACAAGUAGCUCAGGUGGGUGGAAGUGCCCUCAUAUUGGAUCACAGAGAGGCCUCAAAAACAAAGAACAAUGCCUCUGAGAUGAGAAGCUGUAAGAGAGCACCAUUUCUCUAAACGGGGCUUCAAAAAUAAACGUAUUUUAGGGCAGCUUAUGUGUAACCAAGAGGUAUUAGUCCACCUAAUAUAAGAGCUUCUCAUUAAGCCAAUUAGGUCUAGUUAUAAGUUUAAGUUAAGGUUUUGUAAUGGUAAUAAUUCCCGAGGAAGUUUCCUGAAAAGAACUUUAUAAAUUGGCACAUGUGUUUUUUGUGAGUCCUUCAAUUUGUGGAAGGGCAAUACUAAUCACCAGAGUGCCCAUUAUUAAACUGGAAGUGUACUAAAUGGACACUUAUCUCCAUUUUUCUUACAAGUAUUCCAAAUGUCGCAGUUCUUGGCAAAUCUUCAGAAAUGACAAAACCUCUAAUAUAAAGGAUUACCCGAUUUGAUAUAUAAAAUCAGACAUUGUUCAAAAUCCUUCAUGGACUUGAUGACUUUUUAAAUGACACAUUGCCCUAUCAGUAUAAAGACACUGACAUCAGCAGCAUAUAGACCAGUAGAUUUACUUUAUAUUUUGCUUAUAGUUAAUCAAAUUAUUUGAUUGUCUGAGGCCGUGUA